rnacentral:rRNA from 1 species
GAUAAACGCUGGCGGCGUGCAUAAAACAUGCAAGUCGAACGGGUGGCUUCGGCCACCAGUGGCGGACGGCUGAGUAACACGUAAGUGACCUACCCUUUAGUGGGGAAUAACUGCUCGAAAGAGUGGCUAAUACCGCAUGUACUCGCUUUUUCGAUGAGGUGAGCAAAGCCGAGAGGCGCUAGGGGAUGGGCUUGCGGCCGAUUAGCUAGUUGGUGGGGUAACGGCCUACCAAGGCGAUGAUCGGUAGCUGGUCUGAGAGGAUGAUCAGCCAGACUGGGACUGCGAGACGGCCCAGACUCCUACGGGAGGCAGCAGUUAGGAAUUUUGCGCAAUGGACGGAAGUCUGACGCAGCAACGCCGCGUGGGGGAAGAAGGUCUUCGGAUCGUAAACCUCUUUUCCAGGGGAAGAUAGUGACGGUACCCUGGGAAUAAGCCCCGGCUAACUACGUG